GUAAAGGCAAAAGAGAGCUUGAUUGCAAGACAUACAGGUCGAGCAAGGAUGAAAAUCGGACUUAGUGAUCCGGUGGUUCUGCGUGGAAGGGCCAUCGCUCAACGGAUAAAAGCUACCCUGGGGAUAACAGGCUUAUCCCCCCCAAGAGUCCACAUCGACGGGGAGGUUUGGCACCUCGAUGUCGGCUCAUCACAUCCUGGGGCUGUAGUAGGUCCCAAGGGUUGGGCUGUUCGCCCAUUAAAGUGGUACGCGAGCUGGGUUCAGAACGUCGU
rnacentral:rRNA from 1 species